rnacentral:rRNA from 1 species
UACGUAGGGGGCAAGUGUUGUCCGGAUUUAUUGGGCGUAAAGAGCGUGUAGGCGGCCAGAUAGGCCUGCUGUGAAAACUCGAGGCUUAACCUCGAGCUGUCGGCGGAAACCAUCUGGCUAGAGUCCGGAAGAGGAGAAUGGAAUUCCCGGUGUAGCGGUGAAAUGCGCAGAUAUCGGGAAGAACACCCGUGGCGAAGGCGGUUCUCUGGGACGGUACUGACGCUGAGACGCGAAAGCGUGGGGAGCGAACAGG